AUAAACACCAAGCUGCGGUGUCCAGGGGAAGCACUCAGCUGGCCAUCCAUCAUCUCUCCCACUGAAUACCACCACGAUUGGUGCCAGCCAUGGCGAGGCGCCGCCACUCUUCCUCUGGUCUCCUAUGCCUCGUCCUCUUCCUCCUCAUCGCUGCCAUGGCAGCGGACGGUGCAGGAUGUGCGCAGGCGGGACACCGGAAAUUGCAGCAAGUUCCAGGGCCACAGCCGCUGCCGCUACCUAACCCACGCCCACAACCAGGCCCACAGCCGGUGCCACUACCCAUUCCGAACCCGCAGCCUGACCCAAACCCACAACCUUUGCCGAACCCAGACCCAAAACCGCAGCCACAGCCGGACCCAAACCCACAGCCACAGCCAUUACCGCAGCCUCUUCCACAGCCACUGCCGGACCCAAACCCACAGCCACAGCCUCUACCACCACAGCCUCUGCCACAACCACUGCCGGGCCCAAACGCGCAACCGCUGCCAUUACCGCAGCCUCUGCCACUACCACCACCGGGCCCAAACGCGCAGCCCCUGCCAUUACCACCGCCUCUGCCACUACCACCGCCGGGUCCAAACCCACAGCCACUGCCGCAACCGGAUGCCCCAGGUUCAUAUCCGCAGGUACAACCGUUGCCAGAUUCAAACACGCCCGGGCGACAGAAUAACGCACUACAGGGACCACUUGGAAAUGGUGCAGCCCCAGCCUUAUAUUCAUGCGGUGCAACGUACAUACAUAUAUUCUUCAUGGGUUUAUUACUGUACUAUUUUGUUUAAAUAAAGUGACGCUUGUUCAUGUAAAUAAAUUUACUAUUUCUCUAGACUCCAUAAAAUAAUGUAUCGAUUGGGCAUCAUCUCUCUGUAUUUACAUUUGUACUAGUAUAUUAUUUGUAAUAAAUUUUUAUAUGAUUGUACAAGUAGUUUGUGUACUUAGAAAAGGCAGAACCAUUUGUGUAUGCAUUUGGUACACAUGUCGUUCUGAUAUUUUUAGUUAUAUCUCUGAUCCGACCAACUUGCGAAUGGUUGCACACCUUACUGAACACUCUACGUUCAGACUCGUAAGGUGUGCCUGCGUUUUGAAUUUGUCUUCAAUCCAC
rnacentral:rRNA from 1 species